UAGGAGACAAACGUUAUCCGGAGUUACUGGGCGUAAAGGGCGUGCAGGCGGUCUGUUAAGUCUGGCGUGAAAGCUCUCGGCUAAACCGGGAGAGGUCGUUGGAUACUGCCGGACUAGAGGACGGUAGAGGCGUGUGGAAUUCCGGGUGUAGUGGUGAAAUGCGUAGAGAUCCGGAGGAACACCAGUGGCGAAGGCGACACGCUGGGCCGUACCUGACGCUAAGACGCGACAGCAUGGGGAGCGAACGGG
rnacentral:rRNA from 1 species